rnacentral:rRNA from 1 species
UACGAAGGGGGCUAGCGUUGCUCGGAAUGACUGGGCGUAAAGGGCGCGUAGGCGGAUUCUGUAGUCAGGCGUGAAAUUCCCGGGCUCAACCUGGGGGCUGCGCUUGAUACGCGGGGUCUUGAGUGGGGAAGAGGGUCGUGGAAUUCCCAGUGUAGAGGUGAAAUUCGUAGAUAUUGGGAAGAACACCGGUGGCGAAGGCGGCGACCUGGUCCUUUUACUGACGCUGAGGCGCGAAAGCGUGGGGAGCAAACAGG